rnacentral:lncRNA from 1 species
CCCUGGAGCCAGAGAUGGUAUAUGUGCAGGGCCCAGAUCCAUUAACCGAUAUAUCCAUGGUCUCAGAGUUUGUAGGCUUGUAGUCCACAUAAUACUCCUGUAAAGGGGAAUUCAUUUGUCUUUCAGACUCUCUGGCCUUUUUCCGCCGCCUCUUCAUAAGAGAGUGUUGCUGGAGUUGUUUCAUGCUGGCUGGGUAGCGUUUCCAAGACACAUAGAUCACCAAGAGGAUCAUGGCCACUGAGAGAAAGAGAGCCACACUCCCGGCAAUAAUUUUGUGAAAUGAAACAUGCUCAUACUCUGUUUGAAGAUGGUAGGUCUAGGGAUAAUCAGAGGUUUCUGGGGAGUUUGGGGCACCAGGUGUGAUCUUUCUGUGUUGACCACCUGGACUUCAGAACAGAUAUUAUAUGUUUCCACUGCAUCACUAACCUUUUCACCCUGGAUGUGCUUAGGUCCCGCACAUAUCAUGGUGCUUUCCUUAUUUCCUUUGAAAUUCUUAAGCCAAUAAAAUAAAGGACAAAUGCUCCGACUGCAUUCCCACAUAUUUCCAGACAAUGUGAUGGAUAUUAAUGAUAUCCACGCAUUGACAGUUUCCUGUGAGAUAUUGGUGAGCUUGUUGGAAUCCAAAUUCAAUUUUUGUAAAUUGGGGAGGCAUUUAAAUGUGCCCGGCUCAAUUCCUUGGAUGUCAUUCCCUGAUAAAUCCAAGUUGUGUAAGGAACUCCAAGUCCAUGUCAAACCUUGGCUAAUGGAGCGAAUCCUGUUCCAUUGUAAGUAAAUUGAGCGGAGGUUGAAGAGACGUGGAAAAUGAGCAAAGUUGAUCUUGGAAAACUGGUUGUGCUCCAGGUGGAGCUCCUUUAACUUCAAGAGGCCAGCAAAUGCAUUUCGGGACAAGCUUCGAAGACGAUUGUAACCCAAAUCCAAAAAAUCAAGAUUCCGACAGUCUUGAAAAACUCUUAUGGGCACAGUCUUUAGUGAGUUAGAUCUCAAGUGCAAAAUGAUGAGUUUCCGAAGGCCUUUAAAUUGUUCAGAUUGCAAUGUCUGAAGCUUAUUGUAGGAGAGGUCCAGAUUGCGGAGAUUGGGAACUGGGUGAAAUGUUUUAUUGUGCAGAUAAGUAAUUUUGUUGGAGCUUAGAAUUAAUUCUUUCAGUCUACGGAUCCCUUGAAAUGCAUCUUCAUCCACUGAGCUAAUGUAAUUAUGGUCAAGAUAAAGCCAUAUAAGCUGGUUAAGGCCGGCAAACUGAUUGGAUUUGAGCUUCUGAAUGCUGUUGAACCUUAAUGAUAAGCCUUGUGACCCUCCAGAAAUGUUCUCAGGGAUAUCUGCGAAAGCAUGAGACUCACAGUACACAAUUUUGCCAUCACAUCUGCAGUUCUUUGGGCAAGCUCUCUGAGCACCCGUGAGCAUAACAAGCAGCAGUGUAGGAAGUAGCACCAGCACCACACUCAUGCCUUUCAGCUGCGUAAUUAAAUGGAAACCUACG